GGCAGAAUGAGGCUGGAACCGGAGCUGUCCUGGCACUUUUGCUAGUGGUUUGCCUUUCAGACCCUGGGGGCUCUGACCAAGCUCGCAGCAGACAAAACAACCCGGGGUUGACAGGCUGACUUAGGGAGACAGGUGCCUCGACGUGCCUUCAGUAUGCGGCCUCAGUAGGCUGCAUGGGACCAUCCAGGCCCCGUGGCUGUGCCAUCGGCGUUUUUCAGGCCACAGAAGGUGGCUAUGCCAUGGUACAGGGACGUGCAAAUGGAGACAGCAGCACCGUGACAGUGACUUUCCGUGGGAAUCAACUCCUAGAGGAACCCACGGGUCCUUAACCGAAUGGGCACUGGUCUCACAUGUGCACGUGCUAAAUAGACUUGGGGGUAUUGAUCCUCUAGAGCCAAUAUUGCCUAUGUCAGUCUCCUCUGGCAACACCCUCCCAGGAUGGAAUGUUGGGGUCCCCAGGAUUCCUAGGUUGAAACCCUGACCCCACCAUGUGAAGAUAUUAGGAAGUGAGGCAUUCUGGAAGUAAUCAGGGUUCUAUGAUGUCAUGAGGCUGGAUCAUGGGACCCACAUUCUACAAAGGAGGGAAAGAGAAACCAGAACUCCCUCUCUCUCAGCCAUGCGAGGACGCAGCGAGAAGGUGGCUGUCUUCAGGCCAGGAAGGGAGCCCUCACCAACGACCGAAUCUGCUGUCACCUUGAUUCUGGACUUGCAGUCUCCAGAGCUGUGAGAAGUAGUUGUCUGUUGUCUCAGCCACCCAGACGCUGGGCGUUGCUAUUGCAGCCUGAGGUUUGGGACCCUCUCGCUGGACGAGAUUCCUGGGCUUGCGUUCAGUUCUCAACAAUGCAAUAUCUACCAGCUGAAUAUAUACUAUCCGUGAAGUAUGAAAACUGCGUGUAUGGUAUCUGGAGGAGUUUACAGAAAGAAACCGAGGUGGAAGGUGAGAGUGAAUGCCCUCCCCACGCCAGGGCCCGCUGGGGGCCUCGUUCCAGGCCCCAUUGGCCUGCGUGCAGGGUCUCUGCUCUGGCUGAACUCUUCUGCUGCAGUGGAAAUUCUUGUUUUUGA
rnacentral:lncRNA from 1 species